rnacentral:piRNA from 1 species
GCCUGCGUAGUAGAUACUCAUGGGAGAGC